CUGGUGUCCAACACAGUUCCACUGCUUUUUUUGGGAGGUCCAGAGUCUCGUUUGAAGGGUGUAACUAAACAUAUGUUCAAUAAUAAAACAUAUAUAGUUUUUCCAGCUGUUUGAAGCUGCUGGACCAAAACAGAAAGUAAAAGGCUCAUUUGUGAGUCUCCUUCAUGUUAUGGGGAAAUUGGGUUUUGGGGCUGUAGCACCUUUAAGUGAUGAUAACAUUGAAGGUUGAGGGGUUUGGUGUUUAUUUUCUUUGCUGUAGUCAGACAUCCCUCUGUACAAUGCUUCAAAUGGACCCUUACUUGGUUUACCCCUGUAAGAUGCUUCAAAUGGACCCUUCCUUGGUUUACCCCUGUAAGAUGCUUCAAAUGGUCCCUUCCUUGGUUUACCCCUGUAAGAUGCUUCAAAUGGACCCUUUCUUGGUUUACCCCUGUAAGAUGCUUCAAAUGGACCCUUUCUUGGUUUACCCCUGUAAGAUGCUUCAAAUGGACCCUUCCUUGGAAUACCCCUCCCUGUAAUAUGCUUCAAAUGGUCCCUUCCUUGGAUUACCCCUCCCUGUAAUAUGCUUCAAAUGGUCCCGUCCUUGGAUUACCCCUCCCUGUAAUAUGCUUCAAAUGGUCCCUUCCUUGGUUUACCCCUCCCUGUAAUAUGCUUCAAAUGGUCCCUUCCUUGGUUUACCCCUCCCUGUAAUAUGCUUCAAAUGGUCCCUUCCUUGGUUUACCCCUCCCUGUAAUAUGCUUCAAAUGGUCCCUUCCUUGGAAUACCCCUCCCUGUAAGAUGCUUCAAAUGGACCCUUCAUUGGUUUAACCCUCCCUG